UAUUUCUUUUAAAGAACUUAUUCAGUGAUAUUAUUUAGUACUUUUAAGUUAUUGUGUAAGGGAUGUUAACCUUAAUUUUUUAUUUCGAUUCCGCACUCAGAUUAUUAUAUGUAUUUCUUUUUGAAUUUUCGGGGUCGUUACAGUUGGUAUCAGAGCCGCGUUCCUCGGACUCGUCCAUUACACAAUGAUACUUAAAGAAACACCAAACCAAUGAAUCAUUACUCAACCCUUCCUUGUGAAAUGCAGGUACGAAGAUAUGAGAAGAGGAAGACCCCCACUAAACCGAGCAGCCCGGGAUGGUUUGUUUCGGGAAGACGUUGACAAGAUAUUUGAGAUGCUGGAGAGACUCAUUGCUGCCCAGCAGGGCCGAGAGGAGAGAAGGGAGCUACCCGACCCUCCCUCGCUGCCACAGGUUGAGCCACCACUGCAGCGAGAGGAUCCUGAGCCACCCCGAUACGAGCCUGCUCCUCCACAGUACCACCCGGUGCCACCACCGCAGUAUAAUCCGGUGCCCCAGCCACAGUACUGCCUGGCACCGCCACAGUAUAAUCCAAUGCCCCCACCAUAUCAGCAAGUAG
rnacentral:lncRNA from 1 species